rfam:Cavia porcellus supercont2_168 genomic scaffold, whole genome shotgun sequence.
GCCGGGCGUGGUGGCACGCACCAGUAGUCCCAGCUACUCGGGAGGCUGAGGUGGGAGGAUUGCUUGAGUCCAGGAGUUCUGGGCUGCAGUGCACUAUGCUGAUAGGGUGUCCGCACUAAGUUCGACAUCAAUACGGUGACCUCCCGGGAUCGGGGGAACAACAGGUUGCCUAAGGAGGGAUGAACUAGCCCAGGUAGGAAACAAAGCGGGUCAAAACUCCCAUGCUGAUCAGAUUUCAGAAAGGGGACUGAUGACCACACUGGCAAGCAGACCUUGAAGUGGUAUCUAU